rnacentral:rRNA from 1 species
AUUGAACGCUGGCGGAAUGCUUUACACAUGCAAGUCGAACGGUAGAGGGGGCAACCCCUCGAGAGUGGCGAACGGGUGAGUAAUAUAUCGGAACGUGCCCAGUCGUGGGGGAUAACGUAGCGAAAGUUACGCUAAUAGCUCAUACGAUCUAAGGAUGAAAGCGGGGGAUCGCAAGACCUCGCGCGAUUGGCGCGGCAGAUAUCAGAUUAGGUAGUUGGUGGGGUAAAGGUUCACAAAGCCAAAGAUGUGUAGCUGGUCUGAGAGGACGACAGUCCACACUGGAACGGAGACACGGUCCAGACUACUACGGGAGGUAGCAGUGGGGAAUUUUGGACAAUGUGCGCAAGUCUGAUCCAGCCAUUCCGCGUGCAGGAUGAAGGCCCUCGGGUUGUAAACUGCUUUUGUACGGAACGAAAAGGUCUCUCUUAAUACGGGGGGCUCAUGACGGUACCGUAAGAAUAAGCACCGGCUAACUACGUGCCAGCCGCCGCAGUAA